AGGGGCGUCCGUUAAUUGGCAAACGAUCGGACUCCAAAUCCGACCCUGGAGGUUCGAUUCCUCCCGCCCCUGCCA
rnacentral:tRNA from 1 species